rnacentral:rRNA from 1 species
GUAGGGAAUAUUGGGCAAUGGUCGGAAGACUGACCCUGCCAUGCCGCGUGCAGGAAGACGGCCCUCUGGGUUGUAAACUGCUUUUAUCUGGGAAGAAAAAGGCCAUGCGUGGCAAAUUGCCGGUACCAGAUGAAUAAGCACCGGCUAACUCCGUGCCAGCAGCCGCGGUAAUACGGAGGGUGCGAGCGUUGUCCGGAUUUAUUGGGUUUAAAGGGUGCGUAGGCGGCUGAUUAAGUCAGCGGUGAAAGACUUCGGCUUAACCGGAGCAGUGCCGUUGAUACUGGUUGGCUUGAGUGUCGGAGGGGUACAUGGAAUUGAUGGUGUAGCGGUGAAAUGCAUAGAUACCAUCAGGAACACCGAUAGCGAAGGCAUUGUACUGGCCGACAACUGACGCUGAUGCACGAAAGUGUGGGGAUCGAACAGGAUUAGAUACCCCAGUAGUCC